GAUGAACGCUGGCGGCGUGCUUAACACAUGCAAGUCGAACGGACGGAAUGGAGCUUGCUCCAUGAAGUUAGUGGCGGACGGGUGAGUAACGCGUGGGUAACCUGCCCUAUGCAGGGGGAUAACGUUUGGAAACGAACGCUAAUACCGCAUAAUCUAAUUUUUUCGCAUGAAGAGAUUAGCAAAGAUUUAUCGGCAUAGGAUGGACCCGCGUUGGAUUAGCUAGUUGGUGAGAUAAAAGCUCACCAAGGCGACGAUCCAUAGCCGGCCUGAGAGGGUGAACGGCCACACUGGGACUGAGACACGGCCCAGACUCCUACGGGAGGCAGCAGUGGGGAAUAUUGCACAAUGGGCGCAAGCCUGAUGCAGCGACGCCGCGUGAAGGAUGAAGGUUUUCGGAUCGUAAACUUUCUAUCAGCAGGGAAGAAACCAAUGACGGUACCUGACUAAGAAGCCCCGGCUAACUACGUGCCAGCAGCCGCGGUAA
rnacentral:rRNA from 1 species